UAGAAAGCACUAAAGUAGUUU
rnacentral:piRNA from 1 species